rnacentral:rRNA from 1 species
CACGGGGGGAGCAAGCGUUGUUCGGAAUCACUGGGCGUAAAAGGGCGUGUAGGCGGUCAGGUAAGUGGGAUGUGAAAUGCCCCGGCUCACCCGGGGACCGGCAUCCCAUACUGCUUGGCUUGAGUACGGGAGAGGAUGUGGGAAUUCCUGGUGUAGCGGUGAAAUGCGUAGAUAUCAGGAGGAACACCGGUGGCGAAGGCGCACAUCUGGCCCGAUACUGACGCUGAGGAGCGAAAGCGUGGGGAGCGAACAGG